rnacentral:miRNA from 1 species
UGCCAGUGUGUGUGUGUGUGUGUGUGUGUGUAUCUGUGUGUCAGAUAUACACACACACACAGAUACACACACUGGCACA